GCUACCUUAGCUCAGAGGUAUGAGCGUUCGUUUCCGAUUAAAUAUCAGGACUCCUGGCCACGAGCUGGCUAAGUGCGAAAGGUCGUCGGUUCGAUCCCGGCAGGUGGCU